rnacentral:siRNA from 1 species
GUAAGCUUUGUGGUGUUC